rnacentral:rRNA from 1 species
GACGUAGGGCGCGAGCGUUGUCCGGAUUUAUUGGGCGUAAAGAGCUCGUAGGCGGCUUGUUGCGUCGACUGUGAAAACCCGCGGCUUAACCGCGGGCUUGCAGUUGAUACGGGCAGGCUAGAGUUCGGUAGGGGAGACUGGAAUUCCUGGUGUAGCGGUGAAAUGCGCAGAUAUCAGGAGGAACACCGGUGGCGAAGGCGGGUCUCUGGGCCGUUACUGACGCUGAGGAGCGAAAGCGUGGGGAGCGAACAGG